rnacentral:rRNA from 1 species
AAUUCGCCCUUAGAGUUUGAUCCUGGCUCAGGAUGAACGCUAGCUACAGGCUUAACACAUGCAAGUCGAGGGGCAGCAUAAACUUAGCUUGCUAAGUUUGAUGGCGACCGGCGCACGGGUGAGUAACGCGUAUCCAACCUUCCGUACACUCAGGGAUAGCCUUUCGAAAGAAAGAUUAAUACCUGAUGGUAUGAUGAGAUUGCAUGAUAGCAUCAUUAAAGAUUUAUCGGUGUACGAUGGGGAUGCGUUCCAUUAGGUAGUAGGCGGGGUAACGGCCCACCUAGCCAACGAUGGAUAGGGGUUCUGAGAGGAAGGUCCCCCACAUUGGAACUGAGACACGGUCCAAACUCCUACGGGAGGCAGCAGUGAGGAAUAUUGGUCAAUGGACGAGAGUCUGAACCAGCCAAGUAGCGUGAAGGAUGAAGGUCCUACGGAUUGUAAACUUCUUUUAUAAGGGAAUAAACCCUCCCACGUGUGGGAGCUUGUAUGUACCUUAUGAAUAAGCAUCGGCUAACUCCGUGCCAGCAGCCGCGGUAAUACGGAGGAUGCGAGCGUUAUCCGGAUUUAUUGGGUUUAAAGGGAGCGCAGACGGGUCGUUAAGUCAGCUGUGAAAGUUUGGGGCUCAACCUUAAAAUUGCAGUUGAUACUGGCGUCCUUGAGUGCGGUUGAGGUGUGCGGAAUUCGUGGUGUAGCGGUGAAAUGUUUAGAUAUCACGAAGAACUCCGAUUGCGAAGGCAGCACACUAAUCCGUAACUGACGUUCAUGCUCGAAAGUGUGGGUAUCAAACAGGAUUAGAUACCCUGGUAGUCCACACGGUAAACGAUGGAUACUCGCUGUUGGCGAUAUACUGUCAGCGGCUUAGCGAAAGCGUUAAGUAUCCCACCUGGGGAGUACGCCGGCAACGGUGAAACUCAACAG